UUUUGGAUCCCUUGAAACUUUAGCAUAUUUCUUUGGUUCUGUAAUUGAAGAGAAGGCUGAAAGAAAAACACUAUAGUUAGGUGAAAUGUUAGUAUAAGAAAAAUAAUUUGACGGAGGAUAUAAGGAUUUGACAUGAUGAAGACUCACUAAUACAAAGUCUUUGAGCCAUAUAGGUAGUUGAGUGCCUAUGGUGGAUCUUCUUGUUGGUGUUGCAUGUGACCUCACUCUUGAAGUUGUAGGAACUACUGAUGGUGUGGUGACAGGAGGUUGAUGAAAGAUAUUGUCCAACUCAGUGUUAGUAGGCUAAGGAGCAUCAGUGUUUUUUCUUGUCUCACUAUGGUCUUCAACAUGACCUUCUAUCAAAUUAUCCAUAAAUCUAGGUGGUUUUAAAGUUGUUUUGUGAAAAUAAAAAUUAGAUUCUUGAAAUGAGGUAUCUCUGCUGACAAAGAAAGACUUGUUAGUAAGAUCAUAUAGGAUAUAACCUUUUUGAAAUGGAACUUGAGCUAAUGUGAGCUACCGGUGCCUUUUUCCUAUUUGGUAACUGAACAUUUUUUGGCUCUGUUGGUUUUCUUAUUGAUGUACUAUUAAGCAUAUCAGUAUUAGAUACCAUAUGAUUGGUGGCACUAGUGUCAAUAAUCCAAUUCUUCAGGAUUUUUUACACUAAAAAGGCUUUAUAACUAGAUAUACCUGAUCUACUUGCAACAUUUACUGAGGGUCCUUGUCCUUGUAUGUUAGAGUUAUUAAAAUUCAAGUGUGUUUGGCUUAAUAAUUGGACAAUUUGUUUAUAUUGACUCUGAGUAAAUACACAGGCUCCAGUUUGUACCAUGUUCUGGCCUUGAGAAUUUCCAUCUUGUGCUUCUGCAGCAUGUCCUUACUUGCACCUUUUUGAAUAAGCAUUGUGUGCAGAGGGUCCAAUAAAACUUGAACCUAAUCUGUAGUGGUUAAAAGGCAUAUCACCAAGAAGGCCUGCAGAGGAAGCUGAAGUCAUAGAUUUUUGGGAUUCAUCACUGAUGAUCAUGGCAUAGGCCUGAUUUACUGAGGAUAUACCAAGAUUUCCCUAAACUUAUCACAACUGCAACUAGGAAGAGGUACUAAGGCCUCAAGUUCUGCCCAUAACUCUUUCAGCCUUCUGAAGUAUACAACAACACUAACAGUAUCCUGUACCAAUGUAGCAAUUUAUUUGUGCAGAUUGAAUGUUCUUGAUCCAUCUAGCUUGUCAAAACUCUCUUUUACAUCCUCCCACACCUCACACGUUGUAGUUGCAUUUACUAUGCUUCCUGACAAGGAACUCGAGACAGUAUUCAUUAACCAAGAUUGCACAAUAGCAUUACACCUUUCCCACUGGUAGCCUAAUUCUUCACUAAAGCUUUCUUUCUUCCAAGAACCAUCCACAAAUCCUAACUUGUUUCUCCCUAACAGGGCAAUUCUCAUGGAUUUUCUCCAGAUAGAAUAGGUAUUAGAAUCAGUAAGUUGUAGAGAAAUUAGAGAGAUACCGAUUACAUCUGCGGAAUAUAGAUAUAGUGGGUGAUUAUGAACCAAAGGUUGAGCAGUACCACUGGUUGUAGGUGUGAUUCCAACAGCAGCUUCAGACUCUAUUUUUCUUUCAGAAGUUAACUGUCACCGACCUUCAAUUUUUGAGUUGAUUUGUACUUCUUGAUACACAGAAAUGUACUCUUCAGAAGCUUGACUGAAUUGUAAUAGGAAUGGCAAGAUAACUGCUGAGAUCAAGACAGUUCCCAAUGCCAGUAAACGAGCAAGAAUGUAUCUCAGAAUUAUCGAGAAGAGAUUGCAGAAGCUAUACAGAUCGUAUGGCUCUGAUACCAUGUAGAAUUUAUGAGAACUAAGGAGAGGUGAUCAUGAAGAUCAUGAAGAGCAUCAAGCUUCUCUUAUGGAAGCACCAGAAUAAGCAACAGAAAAGGAAUGAAAUUACAAAAUUAAUAAUAAUAAGAAGAGAAUGAAUUAGAGAAUAAUGGAGAGUAAGUUGGAUCAUCUCCUAUUGAAUUGUGUAGAGAGUGUACAAGAGUGAUCUAUAUAUAGGCAAGCUAAGAAGCUUCUAGGUUCAACUUACUUAACUAACUCUAGGACUCAUAACUAAACUUUCACAAAGUUAGUUAUGAACAGUAAUUUGACUAUCUUUACUAGCUGCUUUUUCUUGAGCUAUAAUACUUGCCAUUGCUUGUUCAUCUCAGCAGUUAUCUCACUUGGUGAAUUUCUGAUAGUAAAUUCUUAAUGAAAAACAAGUAUUUUUAAUUAGGAAUGAGACACUGCUUCUCAUUUUAUAUGAUGUAGUUACUAUUGAGAGUUUUUCUCAUACUUUUUAGAAAAGUUAAUAUUAGUUGAUUCUUUUUAGGCAUAUUGGAAGAACUAUAAAUAAAUUUCUUAGCAUCCAUCAUAAU